AUUGAACGCUGGCGGCAUGCCUUACACAUGCAAGUCGAACGGCAGCACGGGCUUCGGUCUGGUGGCGAGUGGCGAACGGGUGAGUAAUGCAUCGGAACGUACCCGUGAGUGGGGGAUAACUAUCCGAAAGGAUAGCUAAUACCGCAUAUUCUGUGAGCAGGAAAGCAGGGGAUCUUCGGACCUUGUGCUCCCGGAGCGGCCGAUGUCAGAUUAGCUAGUUGGUGGGGUAAAGGCCUACCAAGGCGACGAUCUGUAGCGGGUCUGAGAGGAUGAUCCGCCACACUGGAACUGGGACACGGUCCAGACUCCUACGGGAGGCAGCAGUGGAGAAUUUUGGACAAUGGGCGCAAGCCUGAUCCAGCCAUGCCGCGUGAGUGAAGAAGGCCUUCGGGUUGUAAAGCUCUUUCGGCCGGGAAGAAAUCGUACAGGUUAAUACCCUGUGCGGAUGACGGUACCGGCAUAAGAAGCACCGGCUAACUACGUGCCAGCCGCCGCCGUAA
rnacentral:rRNA from 1 species